rnacentral:rRNA from 1 species
ACGAACGCUGGCGGCUGCUUAACACAUGCAAGUCGAACGGAGUGGCGAACGGGUGAGUAAAGCGUGAGCAACCUGCCUAUGACAGUGGGAUAGCCUCGGGAAACCGGGAUUAAUACCGCAUAGUCAUAGAUGGGGGCGCGUCGGAUUAGCUAGUUGGUGAGAUAACAGCCAACCCAGGCGACGAUCAGUAGCCGGUCUGAGAGGAUGAACGGCCACAUGUGAGCUGAGACACGGUCCAAACUCCUACGGGAGGCAGCAGUGGGGAAUAGUGCACAAUGGGGGAAACGCUGAUGGAGCGACGCCGGGUGAACGAAGAAGGUAUUCGUAUCGUAAAGUUCUGUCCUAUGGGAAGCAGUACCAGAGAAGAAAGCUCCGGCUAAAUACGUGCCAGCAGCCGCGGUAAUUC